CUGGGUCAACCCCACCGCAGCAGGGCCCCACCUCCGCCGCGCCCGCCCUCGCAUCACCGGACCACAGCAUGUCUGCCGUGCCGCCACAGCAUGUCUGCCGCCGUUUCUCUUGCUCGAUGCGACCGCGCGUCAUGCAGACCUUUGUGUCCUUGCGGAGGCCAUCCCGGAGAUGGAGAGAGGAGCAAUUCCUCGCCCCAGCACUUGUUGUCCCCGCUAUCUCCUCCGGCCUGCUGCGAAGCUACCGCCGGCGUUUCUUCUCCGCAAAGCACGCAUGCAGGGCCUCCGUGAACCAUCGAUUUGGGGGCUGUUUUGCAAAUUGUGAUCACCGAAUUUGAUGGUCGAUUUGGAUUUUGGAUCCAAAUUCUUGUUUUGAUUGAUUCAUUGGGCAGAAUGAUUGCAUCCUCUGAUUUCAGUCAGAGCGUGUGUCUCUCUCUCUUGUUUUUAUGAUUCCAUAUUUCCAUCUACUGAAUAUCGUAGGAAGUGCACUUUGUUUCGCCAAUCGUCGGCCAGUGAACCUUUUUUAGCUCCAGGUCUCCAUGGACAAGCUUCGAUCGACCUACAGUUUGUUGUCUGCAAUUUCUUUUGCAUACGAGCGCAUGUACUGCCUAAUAUGCACUCAUGUACUUAUCAGUCUUGCCUCGUUGCAGAUAGAGGAUCAAGGGUUUCAGCAACUGAAGCAGCUCUUGCAAGCCUGCCAACAGAGUGAUAUUAGUUUUCAAGGUGCCCAAAACAUGACACAAGAACCUGUGUUUGACACUUCCACAGCUCCCGGCCAUAGGCCAGGGCGCCCCAGCUACUGACCCGCGCCACCAGCCAGGCCCCUCCGCCGCCGCUGGUUCCUCGUCGCCUCCACAGGCCACGAGCCACCGUCUCCUCUUUCUGGCGCCGCCAACCCUCAGCCUCCAAUUCAACCUCCAUCGGAGAACCAGGCAGUAGCCCUUCCCCGUACCAGUGAUUCAGCCUUAAAGGCAGCUAUAUGAAGCACUCAACAGAGAAGUCAGUACUCUGCAUAUGAUCCCGAUUCGGAGGAAUUAUGAGACCGGCCAAGCGCUGUCGGCCGUCGGAGAUCCACUGGCGCAGCUCGACCGUCAGAGCUCCUCCCUUCCCCUGGCGCAGUGCUCCAUCGCAGGGCCCCUCCCCUACAACGCGCUUGGCCGGCGGUGCACUGGCCCUCCCUACGGUCGCGCUUGGCCAGUGGCACCACUCAUGCCCGCUUCCAUUAUUGGAUGCCCUCACGCGCCACCACCUGGAGGUCCGCACGCCGCCGCUUCCCUUCUUCCCUGCUGUCGACAGUGUCUCUUCUUCCCCGCGGCCGGCGAGCCGCUGCUUCCGUCCGCUGUCGACACAUUUCCUCAUGCAAUGCUGCCAUCAGCUCCGCUCGGAGCACACUUGUAUACGCGCGCGAGGGACGAUGGAAACUGGGAACCAUCUUCCAUGACGAUGAGUCGAUGAGCCCAUACCCUGCAUCUGCCGCCACAGACUCUAUUUCCUCUACCGCUGAUGUUGCUCUUCCAGGCUAGGUGCAUCGUGUUCCUGCGCGCAGCAGCUGCAUUUACUGUUGCCAUGUUUUUCUUUGCUAGGACAGAGUUUAUUCUAAGCUCUUGUUGAUGUACGCUCACUCAGGCAUACGUGGUGAGCAACUAUUUAAUUGAUAUAUAUAAUCAAGCUCUAUGCUCACUCUGAAACUCUGUAAAACACGCAUGUGGAUAGGACAUGGAGUAGUGAUCGAAUUGGAAGCCUACUUUUGUUAUG